rnacentral:lncRNA from 1 species
ACUUCAGUUCAACAGCCAUCUGAAGCCCACCUGUGAGCUGGUCCAGGAAAUGAUGGACUCUGAUUUCCACACCCCUUUCCUGUGAACUUGUCUCCAAUUUAGUCUGUCAAGGUCCCUUUCUUAUUCCAGGACCACUGAAACCAGCUGAGGCAUCCUGAAAGCCUAAGAUUGACCACACCAGAGGAACCAGACUGCCCUUCACAAGGAAACCUGGCGUGGAAACACAUUGCUUCCCUAACACUUUCCUGAAGGAGCUUGGACGACUUGACUCAGGCAGGUUGAGAGACCAGAAAGCCAUCCAGAGAGAGCAGGGACCCAGCCAUCCACCACCUGGUUCUACUCCCACCCUAAGGAUGGAAAUUAUCUGGUUCCACCCCUGGAUAUGAUCAACCUUCAUAGACUGUGCAUUAUACAUGCCAUCUCUGCGACCUGCAAAGAUGAAAAGGGAAAGCAGGAGAUGGAAACUGGUCAGCAGCCUUCUGGUUUAUCAGCCACACUUACAAAGGUCAAAUGUGCAAAGCGUCAGAAGACAGUGGUUAGAGUGAGAUUCUACAUGCUCUCAAUGAAGAAUAAAGCAUGCAGGAAGAACCUUUCAAAAGGUUACAACCAGAGACCUGAAGGAAGCAAGGAAGAAAGCCACAUGGUUGUCAAAGAGAAGAGGAAAGGAGAUCACUAAGCUGGAUGACGUUUUCUGUUUCUUUGAAAACAGAGAAGAUGACAAGUUAGGGAGAGAUCAGAGGUCAUACUGUGAAGCACCUUUGGAUAAACGGCAGGGACUUUGGAUUUUCUUUUUGAAUAUAAGCAUAAUCCAUUGAAAGGUCUCAUGCAGGGAAGUGGCAAAACACUUUUAAAAUUUUUCAUCUUUUCUUUCUGAAGCAGAGUUCACUCUCCAUUUAUUUGUCUUCUUUGAUAUCUCUCAAUAGAAUGUUGCAGUUUUAGUAUUCUCCUAUUAAACAUUUGUUUAACUUU